rnacentral:rRNA from 1 species
AACCUGGUUGAUCCUGCCAGUAGUCAUAUGCUUGUCUUUAAGACUAAGCCAUGCAAGUCUAAGUAUCAAUCCCGGUACGAUUAAACUGCAGAUGGCUCAUUAAAACAGUUUUUGUUUAUUUGAUGUACAAAACCACAUGGAUAACUGUGGGAAUUCCAGAGCUAAUACAUGCAAGAAGACCCAACGCAAGGCGGGUUGUAUUUGUUAGAUUAAACACCAAUGCCCUUCGGGGCUUCGGUGAGUCAUAGCAACUUUUCGAAUCGCAUGCCCUCGUGGCGGCGAUGGUUCAUUCAAAUUUCUGCCCUAUCAGCUUUCGAAGGUAGGAUAUGGGCCUACCUUGGCUUUAACGGGUGACGGAGAAUUAGGGUUCGGUUCCGGAGAGGGAGCCUGAGAAACGGCUACCACAUCCAAGGAAGGCAGCAGGCGCGCAAAUUACUCAAUCCCAAUUCGGGGAAGUAGUGACAAGAAAUAACAAUAGACGAGCUUAUUGGUUUGUCUAAUUGGAAUGAGAACAAGGUAAAAAUAUUAACGAGGAUCCAUUGGAGGGCAAGUCUGGUGCCAGCAGCCGCGGUAAUUCCAGCUCCAAUAGC